CCUACGGGUGGCAGCAGUCGAGAAUCAUUCACAAUGGGGGAAACCCUGAUGGUGCGACGCCGCGUGGGGGAAUGAAGGUCUUCGGAUUGUAAACCCCUGUCAUGUGGGAGCAAAUUAAAAAGAUAGUACCACAAGAGGAAGAGACGGCUAACUCUGUGCCAGCAGCCGCGGUAAUACAGAGGUCUCAAGCGUUGUUCGGAAUCACUGGGCGUAAAGCGUGCGUAGGCUGUUUCGUAAGUCGUGGGUGAAAGGAGAGGGCUCAACCCGCGGACGGCACAUGAUACUGCGAGACUAGAGUAAUGGAGGGGGAACCGGAAUUCUCGGUGUAGCAGUGAAAUGCGUAGAUAUCGAGAGGAACACUCGUGGCGAAGGCGGGUUCCUGGACAUUAACUGACGCUGAGGCACGAAGGCCAGGGGAGCGAAAGGGAUUAGAUACCCCUGUAGUC
rnacentral:rRNA from 1 species